rnacentral:rRNA from 1 species
GACGAACGCUGGCGGCGUGCCUAAUACAUGCAAGUAGAACGCUGAAGGAAGGAGCUUGCUCUUUCUGGAUGAGUUGCGAACGGGUGAGUAACGCGUAGGUAACCUGCCUGGUAGCGGGGGAUAACUAUUGGAAACGAUAGCUAAUACCGCAUAAAAUUGAUUAUUGCAUGAUAGUCAAUUAAAAGGUGCAACUGCACCACUAACAGAUGGACCUGCGUUGUAUUAGCUAGUUGGUGGGGUAACGGCUCAUCAAGGCGACGAUACAUAGCCGACCUGAGAGGGUGAUCGGCCACACUGGAACUUAGACACGGCCCAGACUCCUACGGGAGGCAGCAGUAGGGAAUCUUCGGCAAUGGACGGAAGUCUGACCGAGCAACGCCGCGUGAGUGAAGAAGGUUUUCGGAUCGUAAAGCUCUGUUGUAAGAGAAGAACGAGUGUGAGAGUGGAAAGUGCACACUGUGACGGUAUCUUACCAGAAAGGGACGGCAAAUUACGU